rnacentral:miRNA from 10 species
CAAGUUUGGUAUGACCGGUCUC